GACGAACGCUGGCGGCGUGCUUAACACAUGCAAGUCGAACGAAGUGGCGAACGGGUGAGUAACGCGUAAUCAACCUGCCCUCCUGAGGGGGACGACGGUUGGAAACGAAUGCUAAUACCGCAAACUGCAGGUGGGGAUUGCGUCUGAUUAGCUAGUUGGUGGGGUAACGGCCCACCAAGUCGAUGAUCAGUAGGCGGGCGGGUAGGAUGAACGGCCAAGUUGGGACUGAGACACGGCCCAGACUCCUACGGGAGGCAGCAGUGGGGAAUCAUCCGCAAUGGACGAAAGUCUGACGGAGCAACGCCGCGUGAGUGAUGACGGCCUUCGGGUUGUAAAGCUCUGUUAAUCGGGACGCGGUACCGGAAUAGAAAGCCACGGCUAACUACGUGCCAGCAGCCGCGGUAAUUC
rnacentral:rRNA from 1 species